CCUGCCUAUAAAGGAAGCAGGAAGGGGAGGGUUCCUUCUUUAAUCUUCAAGGCUGCACAGAGCAGGCAGCAACAGAAAUUUUUCACUCCUUAUUCAAUGUGGUGAAUAAGUCAAAAGAGUAACUAACAUCCUGACUCACUCCAUACGUGCACCAUACAUGUGGAGGACUGCACACACACCUGUGGAGGAUGUAGAGGACCAUCUCUUUGCUUCCUGCACUGGCAGCGUGAUGACGUCAACUGCAGCCGGACGAGUCGAGUGAGGUGAGGGGCAGCCUGACCAAAACAAGAUGAAGAGCUGUUAGCAUGUCUGCUACACCAUGCUGCCUCACUUCCUUCAACAUUUGGUGUUUCCUCGCUCUGAAGAGAAGGAUCUGUGCUGCAGCUGGAAGGAGUUUCUUUAGAUUAAAGUUUACUUGUAGACUGUUUUAGUUUUCUUUCAGCUAUAGAUUUAGUUUAAAGUCUGUUUUCUUUAAUCUUUAUGUGCAGUUUUUUCUCAACACAAUUUUAAAGUCUUAAUUUGUGUCUUGUUUGUGUUGUAGUUGUUUCCUUCUUUGUCACACAGCUGUUAGAUUUAUUUUCAUUUGAAGUUUAGAUAUUUUUAUAACAAAUUUCCAUUAGGAAAAUGCUUAUUGGUGGUAGAUAAUUAGAAAGUUUCCUCAGGAACAAUGAAAGCUGUAAACUACUAUAAACCACAGCUGGCAGAUAACAGCCUAAUCAACAAUGUAACACAAGCACAGAAAGGACAGCAGUUUUAUUACAAUAAAAUCUAACAGACAUGAC